GACAGAGGGUGCAAACGUUGCUCGGAAUCACUGGGCGUAAAGGGCUCGUAGGCGGCCAACUAAGUCAGACGUGAAAUCCCUCGGCUUAACCGGGGAACUGCAUCUGAUACUGGAUGGCUUGAGUUCGGGAGAGGAAGGUGGAAUUCCUGGUGUAGCGGUGAAAUGCGUAGAUAUCAGGAGGAAUACCGGUGGCGAAGGCGGCCUUCUGGACGGUGACUGACGCUGAGACGCGAAAGCGUGGGGAGCAAACAGG
rnacentral:rRNA from 1 species